CAGGAUAUUCUUCAGUUUCAUGCAGCUCUUCUAGUCCGACUUACAGAAAAACAUUGUGUCAUCCGCAAAUAAUAAAUGGUUCACGCGGGGGAUUUCUUUUGCAACUUUGAUCCCUGGGAGACUGCCUUGUUCAUGUGCUCAAUUGCAUAAACCAGUAAGUACCUCACUGCACAGAAUGAAGACAUAAGGCGAUAGGGGGUCUCCUUGGCGAAUGCCUCUCUGGGGUGUGACUAAGCCCAGCGCUUGUCCAUUAAUCAGUGCAGGGUUUCAUGUGUGAUAAGCACAUUGUCUGAUAUAGCUCUUUGGGGGACGAAGGCUGAUUGAUUCUCAGAUAUGCACGACGAGAGGAUUGGUUGCAGUCUUUUGGUUUCCAGUGAUGAAGAAAGAUUGGACCUCGGCAACUAUUUCAUCACUCACUGUACUCCAGUUUGAUUGGAAAAAACAAGCUGAGAAGCCAUCCGGGCCCGGGGCUUUAUCAGGAUGUAUAUCAAAGCAUGCUUUUUUUAUUUCUUCGCUUGAAGGUAUCUCAAUCAGUUUUGCAUUCAUAUCCUCUGUUAUGCAGGGAGUUAGAGCCUCCUGUACCACUUUCCUUCGGUUUCCUUCCUGGGAGGUGAAGAUUUGUUGAUAAUAGUCAGUAAUUGCCUGGACUAUUUCAUUUUC